CCGCCACCAGCCAGUCAUCCCUGUGGUAACUUUUCUGACACCUCCUGCUUAAAACCCAAAAAGUCAGAAGGAUGGUGAGGCCUCGCUUUCACAGAGAUCAGAAGAGCACA